UGCAGUCGAACGGAACGAUGGAAGCUUGCUAUCAGGCGUCGAGCGGCGGACGGGUGAGUAACGCGUAGGAAUCUACCUAGUAGUGGGGGAUAGCCCAGAGAAAUUUGGAUUAAUACCGCAUACGCCCCAUGGGGGAAAGGAGGGGACUCUUAUGAGCCUCUCGCUAUCAGAUGAGCCCGCGUAAGAUUAGCUAGUUGGUGGGGUAAAGGCCUACCAAGGCGACGAUCUUUAGCUGGUCUGAGAGGAUGAUCAGCCACAUUGGGACUGAGACACGGCCCAAACUCCUACGGGAGGCAGCAGUGGGGAAUAUUGCACAAUGGGCGCAAGCCUGAUGCAGCCAUGCCGCGUGUGUGAAGAAGGCUCUAGGGUUGUAAAGCACUUUCAGCGAGGAGGAAAGGUUGUAGUUUAAUAGAUUACAGCUGUGACGUUACUCGCAGAAGAAGCACCGGCUAACUCCGUGCCAGCAGCCGCGGUAAUACGGAGGGUGCAAGCGUUAAUCGGAAUUACUGGGCGUAAAGCGCGCGUAGGUGGUUUGGUAAGUAGGCUGUGAAAUCCCCGGGCUCAACCUGGGAACGUCAGUCUAAACUGCUUGACUAGAGAUCAGUAGAGGGAGGUGGAAUUCCUGGUGUAGCGGUGAAAUGCGUAGAUAUCAGGAAGAACAUCGGUGGCGAAGGCGACCUCCUGGACUGAAUCUGACACUGAGGUGCGAAAGCGUGGGGAGCGAACAGGAUUAGAUACCCUGGUAGUCCACGCCGUAAACGAUGAGAACUAGCUGUUAGUUUCCCUUACCUCUUGGUAGCGUAGCUAACGCGUUAAGUUCUCCGCCUGGGGAGUACGGCCGCAAGGUUAAAACUCAAAGAAAUUGACGGGGGCCCGCACAAGCGGUGGAGCAUGUGGUUUAAUUCGAUGCAACGCGAAGCACCUUACCUGCCCUUGACAUCCUCGGAACUUAUCAGAGAUGAUUUGGUGCCUUCGGGAAUCAGGUGACAGGUGCUGCAUGGCUGUCGUCAGCUCGUGUCGUGAGAUGUUGGGUUAAGUCCCGUAACGAGCGCAACCCUUGUCCUUAGUUGCCAGCACAUUAUGGUGGGAACUCUAAGGAGACUGCCGGUGACAAACCGGAGGAAGGCGGGGACGACGUCAAGUCAUCAUGGCCCUUACGAGUAGGGCUACACACGUGCUACAAUGGCAUGUACAAAGGGUUGCCAAGCCGCGAGGUGGAGCUAAUCCCAUAAAGCAUGUCGUAGUCCGGAUUGGAGUCUGCAACUCGACUCCAUGAAGUCGGAAUCGCUAGUAAUCGUGAAUCAGAAUGUCACGGUGAAUACGUUCCCGGGCCUUGUACACACCGCCCGUCACACCAUGGGAGUGGGUUGCUCCAGAAGUAGAUAGCUUAACUGUUACAGGGACGUACCAC
rnacentral:rRNA from 1 species